UUACGUGAUUGGUAGAUUUGUUUUAUUGUUCUUUGGGUAAAAAUACCACAGUUCGUAUUAUUUUAUCGACGAGCAGACCAAAAGGCCGCAGAGCGAGUUGAAGCUUGAGAUUGAGAUUCAAAUUUCUAAAAGAAAAAGACAUCACGCCAUAGCCGUUACAAGUGUAUAUCUUAUCUGGUGAAGUCAAAAUCAAGUUGUAUUAAACCGUUUCGAAGAUUUAUCGACAAGCCGGAGGACCGAUUGCAUAUCAUUAUAUUGAAACGUGUUGCAAGAUAAUGGAGGGCAAUGGGAAAAAGGAAAAUAGUGAUGACAAAGAAACACAAGAUGUGAUGAGUGCAGAGGCUGAAGUUGAGGAAGCCGCCUCUCCUGUUGAAGGAGCUGUUGGUUUAGCUCCAGAGCUCGUGUGCACUACUGCUAUUGAAAGACCAAGUAAUGGACAUAAGUCUAUGACGCCGAAAGAAAUUGGACUUGUAUUGCGACAAAUUGGAGACAUUUUGGAAAGCUCCGUUAAAAAUCGUGAUGGAAAUCGUUGCAAAAGGAAGCGUGAAGAUCGUGAGACAUGAGAUCAAAACAAUCACUGAAACAAUCGAUGGCUCCGUAGUCCGUAAACGACCUCCGUUAAAUCGCAGUAGCGUUUUGAAAAUACACCAACUGUUUGACCUCUAGCUUCCGUAACUUUUUACGUCCCAUGAUAAUGCUUCCUAUUUCAUCUGGUCAAGUAAAAGAAAUCUCGAUCCACAAAGUUUGCUUUGUUUUGUCCUGUCCGCCUGAUUGCGCACUUGGUAAUGAUUAUCGUGGGAUUGUAUGACGCGUUUCUCUUAAAUUCCUAAAUUCUGAUACAUAAAUGUAAAAAUUUUACUUAUAUCUGUUCGUGUAAAUAUAUUUGAUAGAAUUAUAAUACCCAUAUUGGGUAGCUUUGUAAAUCGAUAUGAAUUUUGCUAUGUUGUUAUCAGCUAAUUGUACAUAAACAUAACCCGGCUCUUGUAAAUAUUGUGCGUCCAUCUUCGCCAUGUUAUGUGUGAAUUUCGCCGUAAAGAAGGAAAGUUUGUGAAUAACAUUUGUACAUUUAAAUGACGGGAUUUUUGUAAAUUAAAUCUUGGUGGAUAAUACGUAAA